ensembl:lncRNA
UUCCAGUCUGCAUGAAAGAUGAUGCCUCAGCCACUCCCAGCGGGCCCCUUAUUUAUUGUUCACUGUAACUUCUCUCUCCUACCAGCAACCAGAGACUGGCUCGAUAGACUUCUGUGAUGACAGGUGACCAAAAGGAUCACUUUCCCCCCAAAAUGCCUUGUUUUGACAGGUAUCUGGAAGAACAAAAAGGCAGCUCUUUUAUUCUAAAUACCAAGGCACUGAAAACAAAGGGAGAACUCUAUGUACGUAUUUAACUCCCUAGGCAAGUGAGCCUCAUGACUUGGGAUCAUUACUUCCUCCAAUGCUAGCCUUAAAUGGAGAACUGUGUUAAUAGUCUCUCAGUAUUUGCUUAAUGGCUUUCAAACUGGUCCAUCUCUCCACGCAAAAGGAAUAUAAAAAUUAAGUCCUGGGGCAGUGGAAAAUAUCCACAUCAGCAGAAGUUGGGACAGUCCUCAAGCAAAGAGAAGAGCAGUAAAGGAAAGUCCCUAAGAGAGGUGGAAGAAGAGAUGAGAGCAAACAGAAGAUGAAGCAGAUGCAAGAAGCAUCUGCUCAGGAAGGUCAGGAAGCAUGAGGAGGAAUGGGAAAAGGAAAUGGUCUGGCUGUAAAGAGAGGCUGAUAUAAACAGGAGAGGGGACAGUCAUGCAUCUGCAUUGCCAUGCCCAGCUUUGCCUUCAGGAGCUCAGAGAUAAUGCUCACAGAUUGAAGAGUGUGCAUGGAGGAGCUAUGCACACAACAUCAGCCACCACAGAACAAACCUUUAGGUGAAAACUCAACAAGAACAGCUGUUUCAAGGAGAGAAAAAAAAAAAAGAUCCACUGCCUUCUGGAUAAAACCAAAAAUUUUGGUCAAAUGUCAGGUACAUCAGCAAAGACAACCAACCCCUGGGCCAACUCACAAGGGCCAGGGCAGUUGGAUCAGAUGGUCCUGAAGGGUCUCUUCCAACUCAAAUGCUUCUAUGAAUCACAGGAGACACCCCGGAUGAAGCUACGCUCCUCAUCACUACAAGAGGCAGCUG